rnacentral:rRNA from 1 species
GAUGAACGCUGGCGGCGUGCCUAAUACAUGCAAGUCGAGCGACCGGACGAGAAGCUUGCUUCUCUGAUGUUAGCGGCGGACGGGUGAGUAACACGUGGAUAACCUACCUCUUAUACUGGGAUAACUUCGGGAAACCGGAGCUGAUACCGGCGAAUAUUUUGUACCGCAUGGUUCAAAAGUGAAUGACGGCUUUGCCGUCACUUUUAGAUGGUUCCGCGCUGCAUUAGCUAGUUGGUAAGGUAACGGCCUACCAAGGCAACGAUGCAUAGCCGACCUGAGAGGGUGAUCGGCCACACUGGAACUGAGACACGGUCCAGACUCCUACGGGAGGCAGCAGUAGGGAAUCUUCCGCAAUGGGCGAAAGCCUGACGGAGCAACGCCGCGUGAGUGAUGAAGGUCUUCGGAUCGUAAAACUCUGUUAUUAGGGAAGAACAUAUGUGUAAGUAACUGUGCACAUCUUGACGGUACCUAAUCAGAAAGCCACGGCUAACUACGUG